GGGAUAUUGCGCAAUGGGCGAAAGCCUGACGCAGCGACGCCGCGUGGGUGAUGAAGGCCUUCGGGUCGUAAAGCCCUGUCGAGGGGGAAGAAACAGCCGCGGUCGAAUAGACCGCGGCCCUGCCGGUACCCCUAAAGGAAGCACCGGCUACCCCCGUGCCAGCAGCCGCGGUAAUACGGAGGGUGCAAGCGUUGUUCGGAAUCACUGGGCGUAAAGCGCGUGUAGGCGGUCUGCUAAGUCUGAUGUGAAAGCCCGGGGCUCACCCUCGGAAGUGCAUUGGAAACUGGCAGACUGGAGUCCCGGAGAGGAGGGUGGAAUUCCUGGUGUAGCGGUGAAAUGCGUAGAUAUCAGGAGGAACACCGGUGGCGAAGGCGGCCCUCUGGACGGUGACUGACGCUGAGACGCGAAAGCGUGGGGAGCAAAC
rnacentral:rRNA from 1 species